GGGGUCUGGGGGGGCCGCUGGCGGCCCCCACCCACGAGGCUGCCCCGCGCCAGCUUCUGCAGCUCGACGGGCACUACGGCGCUGGGGCAGUGCUUCUCGAUGUAGUCCUGGAAUCCCUGCACUCCCAUGGAAGGAAACUAGUCCAGAGCAUGUGCCACCAGGAGCCUGGCUGUUAGCAUCCUUGGAGUCAGGGCAGCACAGCAGAACUGAGCACUGCCAGCUUGUGCUCAGCCACGCACACAGCCCUCCCUCCCCAAUGAGAAGAGAGAGGAAAAGCAUAAGGGGAACAAGGUGCUUCCAGAACUUAUUUAAUAUAAACUAAAAGUUUGGCCAGACAAGAAGACAAUGGAAAAUAAGUUAAAUUUAUGGCAAAACAAAAUUACUCUGGAAAGCAGGUAGAUUAAGCUAGACUUAAAGAGCAAUUAAUCAAAGACACAAGGCAAAUAAAGUGUUUUUUUCAUCAACCAGCAGCAGAAAGCCUGCAGGAUUCAUCAAUCUUCUACUUCAGCACUGAGACACGUGUUCCACAGUUCCCAGAUGUUGGUUGUGUCAGGGAAGGGUUAAUAACAGUUGGUGUUAAAGUCAGUGACUCAUUAUCCAACCUGAACAGAGGCGAUUUAGGAGUGGCUCCCUCAAAGGAAGGAACUGAACAGUCAUUAGGAAGAACUAACGAAUAGCCAUGUCAGAGCAAGAGCAGAGAUGAAUGUUAUCAGUUUAGUCGUGGUUCUUCUGUUAAGGAAGGUCAGUCCCACAGCAAGAUGAACAUGGACACAGCCUGUGGAACAGACUGGCCACUGGGACCUGAAAGCCUGGUGUAUCUUGCUGUGGAGAUGCUGCCCCAGAAGUUCCCUGUUCUUGCUGCUGUAGAAGAGCUCCCAGCCUUCACCUCACUGCCAGGUCUACAAGUGGCCGUGGGCUCACCCUGUGGGCAAGUGCUUUUCUGCAUUGCUACUUCAGCACUCACAGUUCUAGGCAUGCUGGUCACUUAGUCGAAAAAAGUUGCAAAAAUAAAAGAAAUUGAAGAAAAAUUGUUGAGGUUUAAAAAAGUGUUGGGGAUAAAGUCUGUCACUUACUGCAAUCUUGCUCUGAUUUUGUAUCAUCGUAUUUGCUACCACCUGUGACAUCCCUUUCUUGUCUCUUAUGUUGCUGCAAUUAAACUAUACACCAUCACACUACAUUUAUAGAAGGAGGUUUUUCAUGUUCAGAUAUCUCCACAAAAUAUCAACAAGAACCAUCUUGCUUGAGCAAUAACUUUUUUCAAAUCUCUGUGAUACUUUGGAUGGAACAUUUUUCUCUAAGGACAAAGAUGUGCAUGUAGAAGGCACAUCACUGAGUUACUUAAAACAUUUACUGGUCUCUGCAUCAGCUCUCUAGGGACCACCAGUUCAAAGAAAAGAUGAUUCAGAAGGUAGCAUACUUUACUGGAGCCACUGCUAUGCUCAAACUCAAAAUUUCUGAUUGUCCAUAGAGGCCAACCCUUGAGGGGUUUGGCCCUGGACAUAUGUGGGGUAAACGAUGGUGUUGCUCCAGCAAACUUUUAGGGCAAGAAAAUGACUGGCAGUGAGUCCUCUGAGUGCCUGGGAGAAGCAGGCUGGAGGAGGAGGAGGGGGCAAUGACGCUGGCUGAAAGAAUUCCUCCUUUCAGAGAACAAGCAGCGCUUUCACAGCAGUGGAUGCUCAGCCACAGCACACACUACACAGAUUACAUCGGGGCCAUUUGCUGCCUUUGAUUAGUUUUAAGAAACAAAAGCAUGAAAAUUUUAAGUUCUAAAGUUGAAUUUUCAAGAGAAAAAGCAUAAAUAAUAAGGGCAUUAUGGAGCAGGCAGUGGGAGCUGGUGGGGAGCACUGCAGCCUCAAAAACCUGGAACAGUAGUGUGCUGUUCCUGUGGCAGUUGUGUGAGACAUACAAAAAGCAAGUAUUUAAAGCCUAUUCUACUGCAGUUCUUGCAGGACCAUUGAUAAUAUGAUGAAAAGAUACUAAUAGAAUGCUGCAGGUUGAUGUUAUAACAGAUAAGAGGCACUUGCCAGUGGUAUGGUGAGAGCACAUCUGAGCUAAAAUACAUCUACUGUGGCCAUUUCAGAAGAGCAACGGUUUACACCCCCAACACUUUAAAAACACGUCAUUUUUGUUGGCAUUUAUGAAAUUAACAAAAGUAUCUCAGGCAUGAAAGAAACAGAUUUAGCUUCCUAAAUGUGGGUAGGGCUGCCUGGUUUGGGAAUACCAUCCAUGCCAGACCUUUGCUUUCAGUCUGCUACAGCAGCUGAAUUCCUCAUCUUGCCCAAGUGCGCAGCAGCACGGUCUGCCAGCGUGCCACACGUAGACGUGGAUCACUUUGUUCUUUGUCUUACCAUGGUCUGCCCGUAUUUCACCCCUACAGUUCUUGCUACAGAGUCUAAAAAGGAAGUAUAAAAAUCCCCCUAAAUUUAUUUGAAUUGCAAAGUAUAAAGUUCUGGUGCUGUGCCUGCUUGAAUCAGCACACAGGAUGAAGUGAGGUCCAUAAAUCCAGUGUUUUCAAAGUAGUAGCCUGGACACAAGGGAUACUUUGUGCUGUUGCCUUUCCUGUCGCAUAAUGGCUCUGCCAUGUCCAUCCCAGAGGCACAGCCACCACUCCUGGGAUAGGGUGCUCCUUGAGCUGCUGCAGUUGGAGAAGCAGACAAUCCUCCUGUUGUCCAGAACUGGCCCACGAGCCACCAAUUAGACUGCUGGGAACGACAGCAUUCUGUUCAAAGGGCUGCUAAUUGUAUUUUAAUGAUGAUUUAAAUGCUGCUGCUGAUAAUUUCAGAGACAUCCAGAUCACUAAUUACUCAUAGUCUAUGUUGAGCUUUAAGCAGGCGCAGGCACAGCACCGUAGAAGCAUCAAGUAAUGUCAUUAAUGUUCUCAAAGGCCUUCACUGCCCUCCCACAUGUCAAAAGCAUCAUCUCCUGCUCCCAGGCCCAAGCCCAGCCCUGGCUGCUCACAUCUGGGAUCCAGCAGCCCAGCUGCACCACAAGUUCUUGCAGCAUUCUGGAAGUAAGGAAAGAGAAACAGCGAAUCAAAAUUAUUUACAUUCAUUAAAUAAAAUUCUACCAAUAUUAGUAAAAAUUAGCUUACACCCUUACAACACCGCCACUUCAGAUCAUUUUGCCUUUAAGAUAAAAUACUCGCUCAGUUGAACUGCAUCCCUGAACACAGUGUGGUCAGAGUGUUUGAAUUAACUCGCCAGAAAUGCAGAUCCUAACAAGUUGCCUGCACAGCCAGGAAGAACAUCAAUCUGUUGGAGCAAGUCCAGAGGAGGCUGCCAAGAUGGUCAGAAGGAUGGAGCACCUCUGCUACAAGGAAAGGCUGAGAGCAUUAGGGUUGUUCAGCCUGGAGAAGAGAAGCUUCAGGGUGACCCAGUUGCAGCCUUGCAGUACCUGAAGGGAGCGUACAAGAGAAGUGGAACGAGGCUAUUUACAAGGACCCAGAGUGACAGAACAAGGGAGAAUGGCUUCAGACUGACACAAGACAGGUUUGGGUUAGAUAUUGGAAAGAAAUUAGAAAUUCUUGGCUGUGAGGGUGGGCAGGCCCUGGCACUGGCUGCCCCAUCCCUCAAGGUGCCCAAGGCCAGGUUGGACAGGGCUUGGAGCAACCUGGGAUAGAGGAAGAUGUCCCUGCCCGUGGCAGGGGUGGCACUGGAUGAUCUUUGAGGUACCUUCCCAGCCAUUCAGUUCUAGGGUUCUCUGGCUCUCUCCUUGCCACUGCAGCAGGAGCAGUGAUGUGCUGGAAACGUGGCCAUCCUGCAGAGCUCACACAGCCAGAGCUGUGCUGCGCAGUUCGUCCAACGGAGCAGAGUUUCCAAGGCUGUCAAAUCAAUACCUGCCAUAAGCAUGAAAUUCCUUCCCAAAUAUUUGCUUGUAUUCUGUACAAGAUGCUCAUAGUGUGUGAAGGAAUCUAUUCUCCAGAAAAAAUAUUUAGAGUGCAAGUCACAGUUUUCCCCUUCAGAAAUUCAGCCAAAACACACCAAAUGUGCUAUCCAUGGGCAGUGUAGUGCUGGUCAAGAUGUUUAUACAUAAAACACUCUGUCAGUGAGAGUAAAGCACAUAUCUUGCCUGUGUAAUUGAUAUCUACAAAUGGGGAAGCUGGCUGAGCCCUGUUCUAAAAUAUGUGCUUUUACAAGAAUGUAGGUUAGCUGUAGUACAGUGGAUUUUACAUGCCAAACCUAAGCAGUCAGAAUUUGGAAGAGACUUUUAAUGAUGCAGGAACAAAGGGGAGGCUUGUUUUUUCAUUGGAAAAUAAAAUGCAUGUAAACAAAUCCUAAUGCUG